rnacentral:rRNA from 1 species
UUAAAGGGCUGCAGUAUAUUGACUGUACAAAGGUAGCAUAAUCAUUAGUCAUUUAAUUGAUGACUUGUAUGAAGGAUUGGAUGAAAUAUAAACUGUCUCUUAAUUAUAUUUAGAAUUUAAUUUUUUAAUUAAAAAGUUAAAAUAAAUUAGAAAGACGAGAAGACCCUAUAGAGUUUUAUAAGUAAAAUUAAUUGAGAUUAUUUGUAAAGGUUAAGAUUAAGAUUAAUUUAUUUAUUUUGUUGGGGUGACAGAAAAAUAUGAAAAACUUUUUAUAUGUUUAAAACAUUAAUAAGUGGUUAAAUGAUCCAAUAUUAUUGAUUAUAAGAAAAAAUUACCUUAGGGAUAACAGCGUAAUUUUUUUUUUUAGUUCACAUAAAAAAAAAAGUUUGCGACCUCGAUGUUGGAUUAAGAUAAAAUUUAAAUGCAGAAG